rnacentral:rRNA from 1 species
UACGAAGGGGGCUAGCGUUGCUCGGAAUCACUGGGCGUAAAGCGCACGUAGGCGGCUUGUUAAGUCAGGGGUGAAAUCCUGGAGCUCAACUCCAGAACUGCCUUUGAUACUGGCGACCUUGAGUCCGGGAGAGGUGAGUGGAACUGCGAGUGUAGAGGUGAAAUUCGUAGAUAUUCGCAAGAACACCAGUGGCGAAGGCGGCUCACUGGCCCGGUACUGACGCUGAGGUGCGAAAGCGUGGGGAGCAAACAGG